GCCAGGGAAUUACGAGCCCAAUCUUAAAACCCAAAGGACUUGACGGUGUCCCACCCACCUAGAGGAGCCUGUUCUGUAAUCGACACCCCCCGCUACACCCCACCACUUCUAGCCUAUCAGUCUGUAUACCUCCGUCAUAGCCCACCGUAUGAACGCCCACAGUGGGCAAAAAGACCCCCACCACCAACACGCCAGGUCAAGGUGCAACUCACGAACUGGAAAGCAAUGGGCUACAAUUUCUACUAAUAGAACACACGAAAAACUGCAUGAAACACAGUCACUGAAGGUGGAUUUAGCAGUAAAAAGAAAAUAGAGAGUUCUUUUGAAUUUGGCACUGGGACGCGUACACACCGCCCGUCACCCUCCUCAAAUGCUCGCAUAGAAGAGGCAAGUCGUAACAUGGUAAGUGUACUGGAAAGUGCACUUGGACAACAAAAUGUAGCUUAUCUCUAAAGCACCUCGCCUACACCGAGAGAAUGUCCUUUAACAGACCAUUUUGAGCCCAAACCUCAGCCCACCCACACCAUCUCCAAUUAUACAACAAAAUAAAACAUUUUACCCAUUAAGUAGCGGCGAUAAAAAA
rnacentral:rRNA from 1 species